UCUCUUUCUUUCUCUCUCUCUUUCUUUCUCUCUCUCUUUCUCUCUCUCUUUCUUUCUCUCUCUCUUUCUUUCUCUCUCUCUCUCUUUCUCUUUCUCUCUCUCUCUCUCUGUUUCUCUCUCUCUCUCUGUUUCUCUUUCUCUCUCUCUGUUUCUCUCUCUCUCUCUCCACAACAAUGCUGGAUCCUUUAACCCACUGUGCCAGCCUGUGGAUUGAAUCCACACCUCCAGAGGAACCCAAGCCGCUGCUGCAGUCACUUUUUUUUUUUUUUUUUUUUUGGCUUCCCAGUGGCAUAUGGAGAUCCUGGGCCAGGGAUCAGAUCUGAGCCACAACUAUGACCUUAAAGCACAGCUGCAGCAAUGCCAGAUCCUUAACCCACUAUGCCAGGCUGGGGAUCAAACCUGUGUCGCAGCACUCCCAAGACACCCCCGAUUCUAUUGUGCCACAGCAGGAACUCCUACAGUAAGAUUCUUAACCCACUGCACCACAGUGGGAACUCCGUAAUUUAAUUUUUAAUUUAAUCUAAAUUAAUUUAAAUAUUCACACAUGUCUAGUGGAGCCAUAUUAUAUAUAAAACAUCAAAUUCUGCUCUCAAUCCUCCUUUCAAACCCCAAGUCUAGUGGCUUUCCCCCUUCUCUCACUAUUCCUUAUUAUGAGGGUCAAUUUAGUUUUUCUUCUUACUUGAUGGUCUGUCACAGCAGAGGGUGGGGGGGUUGGGACAUGGAGAGUGGGGAUAAAUAGAAAAGUUGACUGAACAAAGACACUUCCCUGUUUGUUUGUUUGUUUUUUAUAGAGUGUCAGAUACUGUUCUAAGCAUUCUAGGAGGGUUAUUUUACUUAAUUCACAUAAAAUUCCUUCAAAUAAGUACCGUUAUCAUUUCUACUUUUUACAUGCAGCACCUGAACCACAGAGAGCCUUGCAAUGGGCAAAGAGCUAGAACAGGACAGAACUGGGCCAAGUUCACAUUGUAAACCACUGUGCCAUAGUGUCCCCUGGUAUCAUCAUAUCUUUUUCAGCUGAGGGACUUGAGAUGUCAUUAGUUUCCUUCCAAUGCUUGAGAGCUGGAAGCAGGUGCUUCUGGAAUUUGGGGAUUAUUAAUAAAAAAGAAUGAAAUAAUGCCAUUUGCAGCAACAUGGUUUGACCUAGAGAUGAACAUACUAAGUGAGGUAAGUCAGACAAAGACAAAUACCAUAUGAUAUCACUUAUAUGUAGACUCUAAUAAAAAUAGGAUAAAAGAACUUAUUUAUAGAGCAGAAACAGACUCAACAGAUCUCAAAAUCAAACAUAUGGUUACCAAAGGGGAAAUGUGUCAGGGGAGAUUAAUUAGCAAAUUGGGAUUAACCUAUGUACACUACUAUGUAUAAAAUAGAUAACUAACAAAAACCUACCAUAUAGCACAGGGAAAUCUACUCAAUAUUCUAUAACAACCUAUAUGGGAAACAAAUCUGAAAAAGAAUGGAUAUAUGUAUAAUUGAUUCAUUUUGCUAUAUACCUGAAACUAACACAACAUGCUAAGUCAAAUAUACGCCAAUGAAAUUAAAAAAAUUAUUGAGUGCCUUUGUUCAAAUAAGCAUGUCAAUUCUCCGCCUUACAUCAGGAUCCUGAGGGAGUAGAGCGCAGAACAGCAAAGUGUUGAUGUGCACUGGAGAAAAGUGAAGAAAUCCAAGGGUUGCAAAUAUUUUCAAUGACCAUGUCAUUUUCUAGGUCAAAAACCUUCAGUGGUUCUGAGUAGUCUCUGCAUCAAAUGGAAACUCCCAGCCUGAAAUCUGUGUCCAACUUACCACUGUGACUUCAUCUUCCACUCCUUGGGUGCCUAAACCCUUUGUUUCACAUGUUUCUAUUACCCACUAGUCUCUGAGUUAUUCUUAUACCUGUCUCCCUGCCUUAUUAACUUGUGAUUGAAGCAUCUUUCCCACUAGGACAUAGGGUGUUCACUCUUUAUUCAUCUUUCCAAUCCUCCCUCUCCCUUAAGCCUGGACAGAAGAUACCAACCUAGUAGAGUGUGAGUGAUCUCCUUUCUAUCUCACCGGUACUGAGCUGGCUUAUAUCCACUUUACCCAGACCACCACAGUCCCUUAACUGCUUCUUCCCUACAAUACAGCUUCAAAAAUUCUUCCCAUAGCUUCUAGCUUGAUUUUCUUAGCAAAGCUUAGCAGCUCAAGUUUUUUACACUUUCCCUGCUACAUGGUAAUAGCAAUGUUUCGUGACUUUCUUGAUCCAUGGUCUUCUUGCCUUUUCCCAAGCAAACUGGGUGCUUCUUUCCCUGAGACUUUGCAAGCACUGGCCUGUAAAAUGCCUGGGAUUCUCCGACUCCAGGUGUUUUCAGUGGCUGGCUCCUGCACUGCAGGAAAGUUUGUGCUCAAAUGUCUCCCUCUUAGAGAGGCCUCCCAUGAGCAGCCUAUUUAAUCUAGCUCCUCGUUAGUCCAUUUUCCCUUACUUUGCUUUAUUUUCCUUUGAAGCAUUUAUCAUUACCUAACAUUAUAUAGCUAUUUUGUUUGUAAUUGCUUAUUAGAAUGUAAUUUAGCCCAUUAUUAUUUAUUUUAUUCACUACUGUCCCAAGCACCUAGAAGCAUGUCUAGAACCCAAUAAACAUUUGUGCUUUUUUUUGUUUGUUUGUUUUUGUCUUUUUGCCUUUUCUACGGCCACUCCCGUGGCAUAUGGAAGUUCCCAGGCUAUGGGUCUAAUCAGAGCUGUAGCCGUCGGCCUAUGCCAGAGCCACAGCAACGUAGGAUCCGAGCCGCGUCUGCAACCUAUACUACAGCUCACGGCAACGCCGGAUCCUUAACCCACUGAGCAAGGCCAGGGAUUGAACCCACAACCUCAUGGUUCCUAGUCGGAUUCGUUAAUCACUGAGCCACGACGGGAACUGCCCCAAUAAACAUUUGUUAAAUGAAUGGGAAAAUGUGAAAAAGAAACGAGAAUAGCUUUAUUAAUCUAACAGCACAGUUAUAAGAGACAGAAUCUUAGGAUGGCAAAAAUUUAUUUGUAAGUAGAAACAACAUAUAUACUUUAUGAGUGUUGUUUCUAUGGAGUUGUAUUUCCCAAAAUGUGCUCUAUUCAUUGUGCAAAAUAUCAUGCAGACAAAAAAGAUUAGUAAAUGUUGCAUUCUGUAUCCAUUUCAUAGGAUUCACUCUGCACCCUACCCAUAUGAAGGUUCUGAGCAGUCCUGCAGUAAGUGAACUGGAUUAGUUUACUUUAAAAAUAUCUUAAACGUAUAUCAGAACAGAAUCCCUUCUGCUAAGAGCCCCUUAGUUGGGAUAGUCACCUGACAUGCAAUAAUUGCACCCCACUUUCUUCUGAUACAGACUCUGUGUAUCCUGGGACAGGAGUAGGCAGGCUUGUGACCCAUGCUGGACCUAUCUUAGUGGCUCAGGAUUUGUACAGAGAGUAGACACAUGAACCAAGCCUGGCCAAUCAGGACAUCCGUGAGAAUUAAAGGCUGAAACUGGGAGACAGACUUCACCUGUCUCUUAAUUCAUGGAUCUAAUGUUUUAACUUUUAAGCAGCCUGUUCUAUUCUGUUAGCUAUAUGAAAAAUCCUGUGUAUGGCAGGAGAGAAGACAAUUCAAAGACAAAUCUAUGUGUGAGAUGUAGGGAAAGAGAGGAGGACAGAGCAGAUACUAACCAUAGGUCAUUUAUGCCUUUAAAUCCACUCAUCCCUGAAGGAAGGGAUGUUUCUUAUGUUUUGUUAUAUAAGAAAAUGUAUCCCCCAACCCCCAGCCUUUUUUGACUGGUUCACUAAUACACAUCCAACACCAUUUUUUUUUUUUUUUGGCUGAAUAUGCUUUGGGAAAUCCUGCCCUGUGGCAACCUCGGCAAUAAACCUGAGCUGUUGACCAAUGUACUCAAAGUUAAAGGACAACAAAUAACCAACUAAUGAACCAGAACAAAUGACACCCUUGUUUCUGAAUAAUAUACAGAUCUUAUAAACAUAGAUCUACUUCCUGAAUGAAAACCGCAUAGACUCUUAGCUUCAAGUUGGAGCACGUUGUUCAGACAUGCAUGAUAUUGUGCAAAGAUCAGAGCAAGCAUUACGCACAUUUUGUAGUACACAAUUCCUAGGGAUGGCAAGGUGAUGUCAUAGGAUGGGGUGGGUGCUGUUUACAGCAGUCUCUGGAGUCAUUUUAGUCUGGCAAACCUGGCUAUGCGGCUUCUCCAUACCUCUGUUAUCUUCUACCCUGGAAAGCAAGACACUUGCCUAACACCUCUUCAUGUCCUCCAACAGUGCCUCACCCAGAGAGGGAGUUUAAUUCAUGUUUGUGGAUUGAAUGAAACUCAGACUGAGUCCUGUUCCUUAUUAACGUGGUUAUAGUCCAGGCUGACUUAAGGAAUUCUUAAUAAAAUUUAUUUUUAGCACAUUACUUCAUGAAUGCUAUCCUUGUAGAUUCAUAUAUAUUCAGUGGACGCUUUUGAGAAAUCUAAAAAUACCGUCCCUUGGCGUUGGCCCUAGAACAGUGUGCUGCCUUGACAUAGCCAUAACAGUCCCACCAUAUGGGAGGAAACCUGGGUACUUUCAAACACACUCUUCUUUUAGGAUCAAGUCUGCUGUCGUCGCUCGGGCUUGCAGCCUCCUGAACCUCUUUAUUUAGGUUCCAAGUUCCACAGCUAUUAUUUCAUAGGUAGAGGGAUUUUUAAACAGCUUGUAGUUUUGGCUUUUCACCACUAGAGUUCAAUCUUGCUCUUAUCUAGACUGCCACAGCUGAAAAAUAAAACAGCAACCCCCAACACAAAACAUACAAAAAAUUCCCAAAGUGCUUUCUCUAAUUCAAAUCCUGACCUUUGGCUUCUGAGAGCUGACUUUAUUAAUGUGCCUUUUCUUUAUGACACACUUAAGAUUUCCUGGCUGGUAUUGUCAUCAAGUAUAAAAUUCUUGAAUGCCUUUGUUACAAGUAAAUUUUCAAUGUUUGGUAAAUAAUUUCCUUUUUGAUUCAGUUUGCUUAUUUCUAAAUACAAUCUUCAGCUGUAAUUACCUGGCUGACUUAUGGGAGAUUAUGCUUCUGGUCAGUGGAACUUGGAGACUCAUGGCAGGGGAAUGAGAGCUACAGUAAACACAAUUGCUCUUCUGGGUCUCAAAGUAAUCAUUCAUUUUUAAAAGAAUUUUUCAAAUUUUUUUUUUAUUUUUCCAUGAGCCAAGUUUUUCCAACUUCAAAAAUUAUUACUGCAGUUUUUCCCCUCCUUGGUACCCAUCGUCUUCAGAUAUAUUUCUGAUGAGGCUCAAAUCCCAAACUUUGCUUCCUAUAUAAGCAGUGUCUACAAAAACUUUCAUAUGUGCCUGGAUCACCUCAAUCAAAUGAAUUGAGAACAUGCAGUCUUAUGGGAUGCAGACACAUAUGUAUCAUUAUUCUAGUUUCUUAGGUCCCUCCUCUUUUUCUU
rnacentral:lncRNA from 1 species